rnacentral:rRNA from 1 species
AAUCGUACCCCAAACCGACACAGGUGGUCAGGUAGAGAAUACCAAGGCGCUUGAGAGAACUCGGGUGAAGGAACUAGGCAAAAUGGUGCCGUAACUUCGGGAGAAGGCACGCUGAUGGUAGGUGAAGUGACUUGCUCAUGGAGCUGAAAUCAGUCGAAGAUACCAGCUGGCUGCAACUGUUUAUUAAAAACACAGCACUGUGCAAACACGAAAGUGGACGUAUACGGUGUGACGCCUGCCCGGUGCCGGAAGGUUAAUUGAUGGGGUUAUCCUCACGGAGAAGCUCUUGAUCGAAGCCCCGGUAAACGGCGGCCGUAACUAUAACGGUCCUAAGGUAGCGAAAUUCCUUGUCGGGUAAGUUCCGACCUGCACGAAUGGCGUAAUGAUGGCCAGGCUGUCUCCACCCGAGACUCAGUGAAAUUGAACUCGCUGUGAAGAUGCAGUGUACCCGCGGCAAGACGGAAAGACCCCGUGAACCUUUACUAUAGCUUGACACUGAACACUGGUCCUUGAUGUGUAGGAUAGGUGGGAGGCUUUGAAGUGUGGACGCCAGUCUGCAUGGAGCCGUCCUUGAAAUACCACCCUUUAAUGGCUGGUGUUCUAACGUGGGCCCCUAAUCGGGGUUGCGGACAGUGUCUGGUGGGUAGUUUGACUGGGGCGGUCUCCUCCUAAAGAGUAACGGAGGAGCACGAAGGUCAGCUAAUCCUGGUCGGACAUCAGGAGGUUAGUGCAAUGGCAUAAGCUGGCUUGACUGCGAGCGUGACGGCGCGAGCAGGUGCGAAAGCAGGUCAUAGUGAUCCGGUGGUUCUGAAUGGAAGGGCCAUCGCUCAACGGAUAAAAGGUACUCCGGGGAUAACAGGCUGAUACCGCCCAAGAGUUCAUAUCGACGGCGGUGUUUGGCACCUCGAUGUCGGCUCAUCACAUCCUGGGGCUGAAGUAGGUCCCAAGGGUAUGGCUGUUCGCCAUUUAAAGUGGUACGCGAGCUGGGUUUAGAACGUCGUGAGACAGUUCGGUCCCUAUCUGCCGUGGGCGCUGGAGAAUUGAGGGGGGCUGCUCCUAGUACGAGAGGACCGGAGUGGACGCAUCACUGGUGUUCGGGUUGUCAUGCCAAUGGCAUUGCCCGGUAGCUAAAUGCGGAAGAGAUAAGUGCUGAAAGCAUCUAAGCACGAAACUUGCCCCGAGAUGAGUUCUCCCUGACCCUUUAAGGGUCCUGAAGGAACGUUGAAGACGACGACGUUGAUAGGCCGGGUGUGUAAGCGCAGCGAUGCGUUGAGCUAACCGGUACUAAUGAACCGUGAGGCUUAACC